GAUGAACGCUGGCGGCGUGCCUAAUACAUGCAAGUCGAGCGAACGGACGAGAAGCUUGCUUCUCUGGUGUUAGCGGCGGACGGGUGAGUAACACGUGGAUAACCUACCUAUAAGACUGGGAUAACUUCGGGAAACCGGAGCUAAUACCGGAUGAUAUUUUGAACCGCAUGGUUCAAAAGUGAAAGACGGUCUUGCUGUCACUUAUAGAUGGAUCCGCGCUGCAUUAGCUAGUUGGUAAGGUAACGGCUUACCAAGGCAACGAUGCAUAGCCGACCUGAGAGGGUGAUCGGCCACACUGGAACUGAGACACGGUCCAGACUCCUACGGGAGGCAGCAGUAGGGAAUCUUCCGCAAUGGGCGAAAGCCUGACAGAGCAACGCCGCGUGAGUGAUGAAGGUCUUCGGAUCGUAAAACUCUGUUAUUAGGGAAGAACAUAUGUGUAAGUAACUGUGCACAUCUUGACGGUACCUAAUCAGAAAGCCACGGCUAACUACGUG
rnacentral:rRNA from 1 species